CCUACGGGUGGCUGCAGUGAGGAAUAUUGGUCAAUGGACGAGAGUCUGAACCAGCCAAGUAGCGUGAAGGAUGACUGCCCUAUGGGUUGUAAACUUCUUUUAUAAGGGAAUAAAGUGAGGGACGUGUCCCUUUUUGUAUGUACCUUAUGAAUAAGGAUCGGCUAACUCCGUGCCAGCAGCCGCGGUAAUACGGAGGAUCCAAGCGUUAUCCGGAUUUAUUGGGUUUAAAGGGAGCGUAGGUUGACAUAUAAGUCAGCUGUGAAAGUUUACGGCUCAACCGUGAAAUUGCAGUUGAUACUGUAUGUCUUGAGUGUACAAGAGGUGGGCGGAAUUCGUGGUGUAGCGGUGAAAUGCUUAGAUAUCACGAAGAACUCCAAUUGCGAAGGCAGCUCACUGGGGUACAACUGACACUGAGGCUCGAAAGUGUGGGUAUCAAACAGGAUUAGAUACCCCAGUAGUC
rnacentral:rRNA from 1 species